UAGGGAAUCUUCGGCAAUGGGGGCAACCCUGACCGAGCAACGCCGCGUGAGUGAAGAAGGUUUUCGGAUCGUAAAGCUCUGUUGUUAAAGAAGAACACGUAUGAGAGUAACUGUUCAUACGUUGACGGUAUUUAACCAGAAAGUCACGGCUAACUACGUGCCGAG
rnacentral:rRNA from 1 species